CUUGAGAUUUUAAUGUCCAUCAACUGAUUUGUGACAAAUCCAUCUCUAUGUGACAUGUCCAUGCAUGGAAAACAAUGCUACAAAACAUUUAAAAACAUGUAAGGGAGUUCAAAUCAAAGUCAAAGUAUGUUAUAAAAUGGACUAGACAAAAUGAUCCCACCUUUGUAAAACAAAUAUUUAUAUGUAUAACUAUACUAAAAUAAAAAUAAUAAAAAACUUACAUUCUGCACCAAAAUAUUGACAGUGGUUUUCUUUGAAUAACAGGAUUUACAGUUAAUAUUUAUCUUCUUCAGUUUUUUUGUCCACUUACACAUUCUCCAGUUAAUACAGACUACUUGUUAAGAGAUGCUCUGGAAAGGCAGUUAGUUACCUUCAUGACGGAGGCAAUCUCCUUCCACUGCUCUGGAGUUGGGUCGGUUCCAGUUGGGUUGUGUGCACAGGCAUGGAGGACAAAGAUGGAGAACUCAGGAGCACUCUGAGGAAAGGGAAGCUACGUCAGCUUGGACACGAGCAGGACUCCCCUGCUUAUCAACUGAUCGAAAAACUUUUUCCUGCUCCCUAUGGUUCUGCUUACUUUUUCAUCUCAUCACCCACCUCCAGAUCCUUCAGGAAACCCUGGAGGUCAAGUCCUCUCUUGGCUGCAUCCCAAUAGUGAUAGGUCCGAAUGUCUUUAAAUCCAGCGGCAGUAAA